rnacentral:rRNA from 1 species
UACGAAGGGUGCAAACGUUGCUCGGAAUCAUUGGGCGUAAAGCGCACGUAGGCGGCCUGUUAAGUCGGAUGUGAAAUCCCUCGGCUCAACCGAGGACGUGCAUUCGAAACUGGCAGGCUCGAGUAUGGAAGAGGGUCGCGGAAUUCCCGGUGUAGAGGUGAAAUUCGUAGAUAUCGGGAGGAACACCAGUGGCGAAGGCGGCGACCUGGGCCAAUACUGACGCUGAGGUGCGAAAGCUAGGGGAGCAAACGGG